rnacentral:rRNA from 1 species
UACAGAGGUCCCGAGCGUUGUUCGGAUUCACUGGGCGUAAAGGGUGCGUAGGUGGCGAGGUAAGUCGGAUGUGAAAUCUCCAAGCUUAACUUGGAAAUGGCAUUGGAAACUACCUGGCUAGAGGUUUGGAGGGGGGACUGGAAUGCUUGGUGUAGCAGUGAAAUGCGUAGAUAUCAAGCGGAACACCAGUGGCGAAGGCGGCGUCCUGGACCAACACUGACACUGAGGAGCGAAAGCCAGGGGAGCAAACGGG